GGUAACUAUAAUAUAAAUAUGUGACCUUGGGAAGGUCACAACAAAAAAGGGGACAAUUGUGGAAAGGAAACAAGACUGACAGUUUGUGGGGGAAGGGCCAACUGGGAGUGGCAGUUGGGUGUUGUGACUAGCACUUCCUUCCUGCCGGGAGGGACUUGCUUCUGGGUUUUGGAGGAGAGAGGAAGGUGGUCAGCCCAGUCUGGAGUGGCAUGCUCUUCUUGGUUCUGCUGGAAGACACAGGCCCCUGAAGAGAUGAGGAAACUAAGUCUUGGAGCAAUUUAGCAUCUGAAGUUUUGUUCAACCUGGGCCAAUGGCAGAUGGAUCACCAGUCUCAUAGGCCAUUGGAUCUUGGUUAGUCUUCUUCACUUCCUGGCAUUUGGAAAUCUCCAUCCUCAGACUGAAUCUCAGAAGCCUGAUGACAGUGAGCCGGAGAAGAGAACAAAAGAGCCAUUAUACAGUGCUAAGGAGCACAAGGUCAAAAAGAACCAAACCAAUCCAGGUAGGAUUGAUGGACUUCUAAGCCAAUUUGAAAGAACUUGUACCUAGUGUGAGACUCGAGGUUGCAGUGCUUGCCAUAUGUUAAGAUACAGGAUGCCUUGUAUCCACACUCUUUGUGAAUACUCACAGACAAGUGCCAAAGUUUGGCUAUCAUCCUGGCUCCCCCUAUCCCUGACAGUGAAGGUAAAAUAAGACCAGGGAACGACACUUCCCUAUCACACAAAAAUCUAGUUUUUUUUUUUUUUUCUUGUAUGGCAACUUCCUAUAAUCUUGGCUGCACGUGGG
rnacentral:lncRNA from 1 species